AGUCCUGUGAACUGCACACCAAAAUCUUCUCAUGGACAAGCCACAAAAGCUUGAAAAAGCCAAGACAGAGCAACUCUAGGAGCAGUUCAUAGGCAGGACAGUGUCAUGGCUUUGUCCUUACUGCUGUCCUCACUGUCCCUUACAAUCUGCACACACAGCAGCUGCCAGCCAAGUCCAAUGCACACUGGCAACGUCAAUCUCUGCUGGCUCCUACGCACGGAUUUGAAGCCUCCAAAAGAGCAGAGCCUUGAUGUCACUCAUGUACCUAACAGUGGCAACAGAAGUCCUUGAUGUCCUUGAAGUCCUGCACUGGCCAAAGGCAAAGCUGGGAAUAGUACUCAAGCCCUGCAAGCCCAAAUCCUAUUAGAGCACAAGGCCUCUCUUCAGCUGUAGAAGGGGUCACUUUUGUCACGGGUGACAGAAAAGGUCUAUGGCCUGGCAGCUAGAAAACAUUUCCUUAACUGAGCAUUGAGGAAAAAAAAAAAAAAACUAAGAUGACAUCUCUGACAAACUGAAACCACGCAUGUCCAUGUGUAAAUGACAAAAUAAAAAUACAUAUAAUGGUAACACGCAAGUCAAUCUUCUGGACAAUGAAAAGGGAAGAUGAAUGAGCAGGGCUCCUAACAUUUAUGGAACAUGUCAUCAUACCCACUCACAGCUGGGUGCCGGGUUGCAUACAAAACACAGAGAAACAGAAGCAGGCUGGAAUGUUCUCUUCCAUUCUGGGUCCAGCUUGGCAGCUGCUAUCUCACAUGACUGUGAUAAACCUGCAUGCCACUGCACUGCCACCAUUUCCAAACAAAAGGGAAAUAAUGUUAUUCCGAAUGGACUUCACACCUCACACCCUAUUCUCACAGCUUAAGCUACUAUGCCACCAGCAGAUUUGGACACUCUCCGCGCAUACCUUCAGAAAGCAGGAAAGAAAGUAACCCAUUGCAGGCUAAACUGAUUUUUAAGAGGCCUAAUUUAUAUUAUGUGCUGCACCACUGUGAGUUUGAUCACCUAGGCUUUUAAGCAGUAGGAAGAAGAAAUAGUAGAUUAUUAAAACUACUGCAUCAGUGGCCACUGACAAGCAGCGAGGGGUGCUGUGGAACUGAAAUUGCAACUUGCAAAGCCCCUACACUUCUUUUCAUACAGCCUCUGCAGCUCUUUCUUGGCUUCCAGAACCCAACCCCCGACAAGGGAGCACAGCCAUAAUUACCUAUAAUGAGCCAGAAUGAAAACGAUCAAUAAAACAGUAUCUUAUAAUGGAAUUUCUUGACAAUGUCUUUCAUCCUUAAUCUGUUUGACAUUUGCAGUUAGAAAUAAAGUGACGUAAAAAGA